rnacentral:lncRNA from 1 species
UCAGUUCUACUACCUUCCAUCCCUUCCCUUGUUCAUUCAGAUCAUUCUCCGCUCUUUAUACUCUUCAUCAAAUCGAUCGGAAUUCAAUCAAAUAUUGAAAAGGCGCCUGACAUUAGUAUAUGUUGUAGAAUUGAUAAAAGAGCUAGAAUAACUUUUAGAGUGAAUUUCAACUCUGUUCUCCUUGAUAGCUGAACAGUAUGGCCAGAUACCUCACGGCUCUAGUUGUGGCCAUAAUGGUGUUUAUGACUUUAUCUUUGGUGCUGAUGCCAGUGGUGAUGCCUCCGCUUUCUUUGCCCCCGAUGGUGAUUUUGCUAGUUCCAAUUUUGAUGAUUGGCCUUCUUAUUUAUUUGGCAUUAUUUACAUAUCCUAAUGUACCUUAUGUAGAGAUUAACUCCAACAAUGACCGUUAAAAGAUAGGCUUGUUGGUUUUAUUCUGCUCUUCGUGCAGGUUUAUCAAUGGUCUUUAUGUAAUAAGUUUUUA